AUGACCAUCAUCUCAUCCCGGUGUGCAGUGGCGUUGCUGGGCCGCACACGCUGGCUGGGAGGGAGGUGUUGCUCGAGGGAGGAAGGCACGGCUGGAGCCGGAGGAACAGAGGCGCUGCUGGCCUGGGGAGGUUCUGGCCAGCAGGGCCGGCAGAAGUGGCGGCGGAUGCUAGGGAAUUACUCGCUGUCGAGAUCUGCUCCAUCCGGCAGUGGCGGUGGCACGUCCACGGAUGGCCGGCUGGAGGGGAUGUGCUGCCACCGCAAACAGACAGUUGAUGAUAUGCAACCGGGGUUCCAAAUGUGUGCUAGGCUACCCGAAGACUCCAGCCACCUCUUCAUCACAUGCCCUCUUGCUAAUAGGAUUUGGCAAAGAUUUGGGCUCAUGCCACACUCCGAUGACAUUGCAGAUCUAUGGGACGUCAAUAUCCCUCCUCACCUCUCCACCACGGCAUGGCCCUCGGUCCUCUUGGCAUUAUUAUGGAUGAUCUGGGCAGCACGGUUGAUAUCUUCAUGUUCAGUUCUGACUCUGAAUGUUGGUGUGGUCUCAGAUUAUGAUCUGUUAGCACUGGACUCGAUAUCAGGUAUUGUUUGGAAUUGCUGUGAAAUGGACAAGCUGAGGCUGACAUAUUUCCUGAGGUGGACAGCACUUGGAAAGACCACCCCCUCCCUCACAUGCACACGCACGCACACACGCGCAUACGCAUACACACAAGUUGUAGAGGUAGUUUGUCACUGGAUGUGGGAUGACAUACUAUGCCCUUACAAUCACAACAGGAAUGGGCUAGACCUUCUCCCAAGCCCUCCUACCACUGCCAGGGCUUGCACAACAUCUCCUGAUACGGGGCAAGACCGCAAGGGUGGCCCGUUCACGAAUCGGAGGUGGAUUUGA
rnacentral:rRNA from 1 species